UUGCACGCUGGCGGCAGGCCUAACCCAUGCCAGUCGAGCGGAUGAAGGGAGCUUGCUCCUGGAUUCAGCGGCGGACGGGUGAGUAAUGCCUAGGAAUCUGCCUGGUAGUGGGGGAUAACGUCCGGAAACGGGCGCUAAUACCGCAUACGUCCUGAGGGAGAAAGUGGGGGAUCUUCGGACCUCACGCUAUCAGAUGAGCCUAGGUCGGAUUAGCUAGUUGGUGGGGUAAAGGCCUACCAAGGCGACGAUCCGUAACUGGUCUGAGAGGAUGAUCAGUCACACUGGAACUGAAACACGGUCCAGACUCCUACGGGAGGCAGCAGUGGGGAAUAUUGGACAAUGGGCGAAAGCCUGAUCCAGCCAUGCCGCGUGUGUGAAGAAGGUCUUCGGAUUGUAAAGCACUUUAAGUUGGGAGGAAGGGCAGUAAGUUAAUACCUUGCUGUUUUGACGUUACCAACAGAAUAAGCACCGGCUAACUUCGUG
rnacentral:rRNA from 1 species